CUUCCGUAGAGUAACCUGCGGAGGGAUCAUUACCGAGUUUUCAACUCCCAAACCCUUAUGUGAACCUACCUAUCGUUGCUUCGGCGGACUCGCCCCAGCCGGACGCGGACUGGACCAGCGGCCGCCGGGGACCAUCAAACUCUUGUAUUAUCAGCAUCUUCUGAAUACGCCGCAAGGCAAAACAAAUAAAUUAAAACUUUCAACAACGGAUCUCUUGGCUCUGGCAUCGAUGAAGAACGCAGCGAAAUGCGAUAAGUAAUGUGAAUUGCAGAAUCCAGUGAAUCAUCGAAUCUUUGAACGCACAUUGCGCCCGCCAGCAUUCUGGCGGGCAUGCCUGUUCGAGCGUCAUUUCAACCCUCGACCUCCCUUUGGGGAAGUCGGCGUUGGGGACCGGCAGCACACCGCCGGCCCUGAAAUGGAGUGGCGGCCCGUCCGCGGCGACCUCUGCGUAGUAAACCAACUCGCACCGGAACCCCGACGUGGCCACGCCGUAAAACACCCAACUUCUGAACGUUGACCUCGAAUCAG
rnacentral:sRNA from 1 species